GAGCUCAUUGCUGGGGUCCUCGUGGGGGUCGUGGCUUCCCUCUUGCUUGUGCCUGGGAUCGUUUUCUGCAUCCGGAAAAGGCGAAGUGGUUACCAGGCAGCCCGUAAAGCACAACCUGGAAGCGACCAAGAGACCUGAGAAAUCUGCCC